rnacentral:rRNA from 1 species
GACGAACGCUGGCGGCGUGCUUAACACAUGCAAGUCGAACGGAAAGGCCCUGCUUUUGUGGGGUGCUCGAGUGGCGAACGGGUGAGUAACACGUGAGUAACCUGCCCUUGACUUUGGGAUAACUUCAGGAAACUGGGGCUAAUACCGGAUAGGAGCUCCUGCUGCAUGGUGGGGGUUGGAAAGUUUCGGCGGUUGGGGAUGGACUCGCGGCUUAUCAGAUUGUUGGUGGGGUAGUGGCUUACCAAGGCUUUGACGGGUAGCCGGCCUGAGAGGGUGACCGGCCACAUUGGGACUGAGAUACGGCCCAGACUCCUACGGGAGGCAGCAGUGGGGAAUAUUGCACAAUGGGCGGAAGCCUGAUGCAGCAACGCCGCGUGCGGGAUGACGGCCUUCGGGUUGUAAACCGCUUUCGCCUGUGACGAAGCGUGAGUGACGGUAAUGGGUAAAGAAGCACCGGCUAACUACGUG